AGCUUGCUCCUCUGACGUUAGCGGCGGACGGGUGAGUAACACGUGGAUAACCUACCUAUAAGACUGGGAUAACUUCGGGAAACCGGAGCUAAUACCGGAUAAUAUAUUGAACCGCAUGGUUCAAUAGUGAAAGACGGUUUUGCUGUCACUUAUAGAUGGAUCCGCGCCGCAUUAGCUAGUUGGUAAGGUAACGGCUUACCAAGGCAACGAUGCGUAGCCGACCUGAGAGGGUGAUCGGCCACACUGGAACUGAGACACGGUCCAGACUCCUACGGGAGGCAGCAGUAGGGAAUCUUCCGCAAUGGGCGAAAGCCUGACGGAGCAACGCCGCGUGAGUGAUGAAGGUCUUCGGAUCGUAAAACUCUAUUAUUAGGGAAGAACAAAUGUGUAAGUAACUAUGCACGUCUUGACGGUACCUAAUCAGAAAGCCACGGCUAACUACGUGCCAGCAGCCGCGGUAAUACGUAGGUGGCAAGCGUUAUCCGGAAUUAUUGGGCGUAAAGCGCGCGUAGGCGGUUUUUUAAGUCUGAUGUGAAAGCCCACGGCUCAACCGUGGAGGGUCAUUGGAAACUGGAAAACUUGAGUGCAGAAGAGGAAAGUGGAAUUCCAUGUGUAGCGGUGAAAUGCGCAGAGAUAUGGAGGAACACCAGUGGCGAAGGCGACUUUCUGGUCUGUAACUGACGCUGAUGUGCGAAAGCGUGGGGAUCAAACAGGAUUAGAUACCCUGGUAGUCCACGCCGUAAACGAUGAGUGCUAAGUGUUAGGGGGUUUCCGCCCCUUAGUGCUGCAGCUAACGCAUUAAGCACUCCGCCUGGGGAG
rnacentral:rRNA from 1 species